UUAAUUGAAGCCAAAAAGAGGCUUAUCACUGUUAAUGAUAUAAUUGAAUAAAUUAUUCCAAUUAAG
rnacentral:tRNA from 1 species